rnacentral:rRNA from 1 species
CCCUUAGAUGUCCGGGGCCGCACGCGCGCUACACUGAAGGAAUCAGCGUGGCUUUCUCCCUGACCCGAAAGGGUUGGGAAACCCGUUGAAUCUCCUUCGUGAUAGGGAUUGGGGCUUGAAAUUGUUCCCCAUGAACGAGGAAUUCCCAGUAAGCGCGAGUCAUAAGCUCGCGUUGAUUACGUCCCUGCCCUUUGUACUCACCGCCCGUCGCUACUACCGAUUGAACGGUUUAGUGAGGGCCUCGGAUUGGUCUCGGCCCGCUCUUUACCGGGCGGCGCCGUUGGUCGAGAAGACGCUCGAACUUGAUCGUUUAGAGGAAGUAAAAGUCGUAACA